AUUGAACGCUGGCGGCAGGCCUAACACAUGCAAGUCGAGCGGAUGAAGGGAGCUUGCUCCCUGAUUCAGCGGCGGACGGGUGAGUAAUGCCUAGGAAUCUGCCUGGUAGUGGGGGACAACGUUUCGAAAGGAACGCUAAUACCGCAUACGUCCUACGGGAGAAAGCAGGGGACCUUCGGGCCUUGCGCUAUCAGAUGAGCCUAGGUCGGAUUAGCUAGCUGGUGAGGUAAUGGCUCACCAAGGCGACGAUCCGUAACUGGUCUGAGAGGAUGAUCAGUCACACUGGAACUGAGACACGGUCCAGACUCCUACGGGAGGCAGCAGUGGGGAAUAUUGGACAAUGGGCGAAAGCCUGAUCCAGCCAUGCCGCGUGUGUGAAGAAGGUCUUCGGAUUGUAAAGCACUUUAAGUUGGGAGGAAGGGUUGCUGAUUAAUACUCUGCAAUUUUGACGUUACCGACAGAAUAAGCACCGGAUAACUCUGUGCCAGCCGCCGCGGUAA
rnacentral:rRNA from 1 species